CACCUCUGACGCGCUUACGCGGAGCUUAUCUAACAUCAAUCACUUCGUUCUUUUCUUUCUCAUCUAAACUAGUACCGUACCCGUGAGCCAUGCACCGACAGUUGGAUUACAUCUCUUAGUUUUGUCCGUGGAAGGAGCUUUUUCCGGUAAAUAUUUCUAAAAACAUGAUUUAAUGCAUUACUUACCGGGACCAGCUUUUUCCUGCCAGAUCUAGCCAAAUGCAUUUUCCUGUAAAAAGAUCACAAAUAUGACAAUGUUGCAUUCAAUUUUCCCUAAACAAUAUAAAAAGGUCAGAGUGGGACUCGCUAAGUUAGUAGUUCGACAAUGGCGGAGGUAGGGUUUCAGGAACGAAGCUCGUGGAGAGUGGGGCUGAGAGCGCGCUAUAGCAGCCCCGACUCUGUGGUUUUCACUCUCGAAUCGAACUUGAGCCUCUUCUCCUAUGCGUCCGCGAGCGUUGAUCGAUGCUCCUUUUCAUCUGAUUCACACGACCACGACUCUUUCGUCUCCGAAAUCUCACUGGAUAUGCGGUGGUGGUGGCAUAAUAAUAAUAAUAAUGGAAAAGAUUACAAACACGCCACGAGGGCUUUUAAUUUCGGAAAAAUUGACGCUGAUAUUCAAGAACCCGUGGAGUUGGAUUCUGCCAGAAACUCUUUCUCUUUAGCCCUCAAAGAAUGUCAAGACAGGAGAUCAAGAUCUGAAGCCUUGUUGAAGAGGCUGCUUCUUUGGAUCUGAACAAUGCCUCUGGCUCUGGAUCUUUGCCGCGCCUUCAAACAUUGAAAAAGACUUCCAUUUCUUCUCGAAGGUCUGGUACUGCCACUUUCCCUAGUCCUGGUACACUCAAUUAUCGCGUUGCAAUGCACAAGGGAUGGAGCUCCGAGCGAGUUCCCUUGCAUGCAGGUGCUACCCGGAAGCACGUUUUGCCGUUCAACAAUGGGAAAACAUUGCCGUCAAAGUGGGAAGAUGCUGAGAGGUGGAUUCUCAGCCCUGUUUCGGCAGAUGGCACUGGGAGGGCCUCGCUUAAUGCACCCCAAAGGAGGCCAAAGUCCAAGAGCGGUCCUCUUGGACCCCCUGGUGUUGCGUAUCAUUCUAUGUACUCGCCGGCCGCGCCGGUGUUUGAAGUGGGGAAUGGGGGGAGUUUUAUGGAAGGUUCUCCGUUUACAGGUGAUGGGUUAAUAAUCUGCACCGGUGGCCAUGGUGGAGCUCUUUCCGUGAGAACAGAACCUUGCAUGGCACGCUCAGCAAGUGUCCACGGAUGCUCUAAGAUACAGAGUCAGUCAUCAUCAAUGCCCCUCCAAGAGGAUAAGUUUGGUGGGUUCAAAGAUGUGGGCACCAAUGUGUCCCGUGCCACUUCAAGGAGGGACAUGGCGACCCAGAUGAGCCCACAGGGUAGCUCACGCUCCUCUCCUAAUCUGAGGCCUUCUUUCUCUGCCUCCACCCCAUCAACCUUGCCUGUCACAGAAUUGCGGACUGUUGGUUCCUCUAAAGUGGAUAUUAGGGAUGUGCAGGUAGAUGAACACGUUACCGUGACAAGAUGGUCCAAGAAACAUAGGGCCCUAUUCACUGGCAGAGGCUCAGAAAAAGUCGAAAGCUGGAAAAAAGAACUAAGCACUCAAUCGUCAACUUGGGACGUUUCUGAAACGUCAAAGCCUGCCUCAAAGACAAGAAGUGAGGAAGCCAAAAUCUCUGCAUGGGAGAACUUGCAAAAGGCAAAAGCAGAAGCAGCAAUACGGAAACUAGAGAUGAAAUUGGAAAAAAGGCGAGCAUCCUCUAUGGAUAAGAUUAUGAACAAGCUUAGAUUGGCCCAGAAAAAAGCUCAGGAAAUGAGAAGUUCAGUUCCACACAACCAAACCGAUCGGGUUGUAAGAACUUCACACAAGGCUUCAUCAUUUCUUAGAACCAGCCAGAUGCGUUCUUUGAGUGGUUGUUUCACUUGCCAUGUCUUUUAAGCAUUCUUUCAUGUUUGAGUGAUGGUGGGUUUCCGAAGGAUUCAAAUGGGCCACAUGUUAAUGAUUGAAAGGGGCACAACAGUUGACAAAAUUGGUGUUGUUGCGUUUUGCUAUCCAUGGCACCUUCUUUGAAAGUCUCAGAUAUCAUAAAAUCUAAGCCCCAUGUUCGGGAGUUUGGAUUCAAUGGGUAGCAAUAUUUGUAAGUAGGCCAAAUUUUAGAAAUAAGAUCUUUUGUAUUUUUUUCUCUCCUCCCAACAUGAUUGUGUGCUGUUCAAAAACUUCAAAUGUAAUCUACCUUAUAGUUGAACGAGAAAAGCAACCACAAUAUCAUUUCGUUCUUAAAAUUUGCUCUCA